rnacentral:rRNA from 1 species
UGAACGCUAGCGGCAGGCUUAACACAUGCAAGUCGAGGGGUAACAGGGAGUGCUUGCACUCCGCUGACGACCGGCGCACGGGUGCGUAACGCGUAUGCAACCUACCUUCUACAGGGGGAUAGCCCAGAGAAAUUUGGAAUAAUACCCCAUACGAUCAUUAAUUGGCAUCGAUUGAUGAAGAAAACUCCGGUGGUAGAAGAUGGGCAUGCGUCCUAUUAGUUAGUUGGUGAGGUAACGGCUCACCAAGACGUCGAUAGGUAGGGGUCCUGAGAGGGAGAUCCCCCACACUGGUACUGAGACACGGACCAGACUCCUACGGGAGGCAGCAGUGAGGAAUAUUGGACAAUGGAGGCAACUCUGAUCCAGCCAUGCCGCGUGCAGGAAGACGGCCCUAUGGGUUGUAAACUGCUUUUAUACAGGAAGAAUUGUACCUACGUGUAGGUAUUUGACGGUACUGUACGAAUAAGGAUCGGCUAA